rnacentral:rRNA from 1 species
UACAGAGGGUGCAAGCGUUAAUCGGCAUUACUGGGCGUAAAGCGUGCGUAUUCGGCUUUUCAAGUCGGGUGUGAAAGCCCCGGGCUCAACCUGGGAAUUGCAUUCGAUACUGGAUCGCUAGAGUUCGGCAGAGGGAAGUGGAAUUUCUGGUGUAGCGGUGAAAUGCGUAGAUAUCAGAAGGAACAUCAGUGGCGAAAGCGACUUCCUGGACCAGAACUGACGAUCAGGCACGAAAGCGUGGGGAGCAAACAGG